UGCACAAGGUGAGUAACCUCUCCUUUUUCUUCGGGUAAUGUUCCUGUGAUGACUCUUGAGCAGUAUCCCCAAAGGGAGGAGGGAGCUUCAGAACAUAGUCUAAUACUGAAGACAGAACUGCAUUGCCCACCACAGCAUCUGAUCUAGAGGCAUGCACCACGACAUAGUGCUUGGAAAAAGUAUGUACUAGUGCCCAAGUUGCCGCUUUGCAAAUCUCAGUCACUGGAAUAUUCUUGCGUAUACAAGUACAUUGAGACAUUGUAGAAUGGCCUGAUACUCUAGAAGAAGGUUGAAUGGUGGCAGAGUCGUAACAUGAAAUGAUACAGCCAGAGAUCUAUCUUUAAAGCCUCUGGGUGGAGACUGUGGAUCCUGUGGAUCUGUCUGCUAUUGAAACUGCAGUCUGGGGAACUUUCUGAAUGGUUUGGUUCUGUCCAAAUAGAAGGACAGUGAUGGUUCUGAUCUGCAAGGUAUGGAAGGCAGCUUCUUGCCUAGUCUGAUGUAGUUUUGAAGAAAAAUACUGGGUGGUGAAUGGUCUGGUUAACAUGAAACUCUAAAGACACCUGACCUUAGGUAAAAACUUAGGCUGUGGUUGUAACAAAACCUUUUCUCUGAAGAACAUUGUAAAUGGGGGGUCUACCAUUAAAGCCCCUUGUUCUCCAAACCUUUGAGCAGAAGUGAUGGCCACCAAGAAAGCUGUUUUCAUCAAUAUGUGAAGCAAUGAACAUGUGACUUGAGGGCUGAAAAGGGUGUUUCAUAAGACAAUUAAGGACAAGGUUCAAGUCCCAUAUUGGAGUAAGUUCUCUAAUUUGUGGAAAAAGAUUCAUCACACCUCUGAGAAAUUUUGAUUGUAAUGGUGUGAGCAAAAAUGGAAAAACCUAUUGGUGAAUGAAAGGCUGUUACAACUGCUAAGUGAACCUUGACAGAACUCAUAAUAAGACCUGAUCUUUUUAAUUUUAACAGGUAGUUUAGGACGAUAGAAGAAGAGCAGACAGGAGAAACUUGUCAACUGAUACAGCAGAGCUGAUAUCUCCUCCAUUUCUGAAGAACGCCAGCGCUCUGUGGAUGUUCAGCGUGUGUAGGGACACCUCCCUGUUGUCAGCAUGUGGCUUGGGGAAGAAUACAGGGAGAUAUAUUUCCAGUGUCUUUAAUGUUGCACGGGAGUCCUUGAAGGUGUGUAAGGAUACAUCCGUGCUCUCUGCGAACAGUUUUUGGCCUUCGAAAGGACUCCUGAUGGACUGGCUGUGGGAAUAAGUCCGAGUUUUGUGGUAAAGGAAGCUAUUGUCUAAAGGUUCCCUACCUCAUUUGUUGCAGAAACUGGAAGGUGUGUAGUAAAUGAAGCAAGGGUUAAGAUAGUUGAAUGCUGCCUUGGAGCACUGGAUUCUAUUCCUGCUUCUGCUGCAGAGUUCCUAUGGGAUGCUAGCCAUGUCAUGUAAGCCAAAAAAAAUUCACGCAGGUGGUCACUAAUUGUGUGUUCUUCAU